GAUGAACGCUAGCGACGUGCCUAAUGCAUGCAAGUCGAACGGGAACCUUUGGACUCGUCUGAAGGUGAUAGUGGCGAACGGGUGAGUAACACGUUGGUGACCUACCCCAGAGAGGGGAAUAACCAUUGGAAACGAUGGCUAAUACCCCGGAUGUCAUUGUUGUUAGAGAGCAAUGACUAAAGCUCCGGCGCUCUGGGAGGGGCCUGCGGCCCAUCAGCUAGUUGGUAGGGUAAUGGCCUACCAAGGCAGAGACGGGUAGGGGGCGUGAGAGCGUGACCCCCCACACUGGUACUGACACACGGACCAGAUACCUACGGGUAGCAGCAGCAAGGAAUAUUGCGCAAUGGACGAAAGUCUGACGCAGCAACGCCGCGUGGAGGACGAAGGCCUUCGGGUUGUAAACUCCUUUUCUGGGGGAUGAGAAAGGACAGUACCUCAGGAAUAAGUCUCGGCUAACUACGUG
rnacentral:rRNA from 1 species